AUUGAACGCUGGCGGCAGGCUUAACACAUGCAAGUCGAGCGGGGAAAGGUAGCUUGCUACCUGACCUAGCGGCGGACGGGUGAGUAAUGCUUAGGAAUCUGCCUAUUAGUGGGGGACAACAUCUCGAAAGGGAUGCUAAUACCGCAUACGUCCUACGGGAGAAAGCAGGGGACCUUCGGGCCUUGCGCUAAGAGAUGAGCCUAAGUCGGAUUAGCUAGUUGGUGGGGUAAAGGCCUACCAAGGCGACGAUCGGUAGCGGGUCUGAGAGGAUGAUCCGCCACACUGGGACUGAGACACGGCCCAGACUCCUACGGGAGGCAGCAGUGGGGAAUAUUGGACAAUGGGGGGAACCCUGAUCCAGCCAUGCCGCGUGUGUGAAGAAGGCCUUUUGGUUGUAAAGCACUUUAAGCGAGGAGGAGGCUACCGAGAUUAAUACUCUUGGAUAGUGAACGUUACUCGCAGAAUAAGCACCGGCUAACUCUGUGCCAGCCGCCGCGGUAA
rnacentral:rRNA from 1 species